AUAGAGAAAUACAGUUUGCCAUAGACUCCAAACAGUAAAACUCUUCUAACUGGUGGGGUUACAUUUUCACAUAUUGUUGCAUUUUGGUUGAACAACAUGAAACCAAGCUCUUUGUAAUAUAAAAAACAGCACAUGCAACCUAAAGUAAAUUGUAACCAUAUAUUGUAGUGUUCAAAUAAUAUUGAAUAAUGUGAGAAUGAAAAAUUUCAAUGAACAGUUGAAAUGUACCUUCACAUCAUGCCAAACAGUUUGUUUGGAUAUUUGGAUUUCACACUUACAUAAGCAUAUUUUACUAUAGAUUAUUAUUACCCAACAGUUUGACAUACAGUAGCACGCAUUAGUGUUCGUUUUCUCAACCGUUUCAAGAAAAAAGUGUCAACUGGGUCACAGAUUUGCUUUGCAUUUUUGUAAGUCUGCAGGAGUUUUAGGAGAAAUAGGAGGCCAGCAAAGAUUCCAUCAUUGGGGACCAUUUUGCGACGUGGUGCGAAUCGAGCCGGACGUUCCGCAUCGAAUCAACGGUUGGUAUGCAGACUGGAAAGGAGAAGACCGACGUGUACACCGGCCGGGCACUGGACAUCGAUGUGGCUCCGGAUGUGUUACUGGCGACCCAGGAUGUAAAUGUGGAGCAAUGCCUGGUGGGACAGUUUGAGUUCGACAAGUUCAAGCACUGGAUAAAGAAGCUUACAAGUGAAAAUGAGAAGUGAUUGAUCCCUGAGUGCCUUUCCGUAAUAAAUCAGAAUAAUUGUUUAAUUUUUU